rnacentral:rRNA from 1 species
GGCGUUGGCAGCGGUCCAAGUUCUUUGGAACAGGACGUCACAGAGGGUGAGAAUCCCGUACGUGGUCGCUAGCCUUCGCCGUGUAAAGCCCCUUCGACGAGUCGAGUUGUUUGGGAAUGCAGCUCUAAAUGGGAGGUAAAUUUCUUCUAAAGCUAAAUACUGGCCAGAGACCGAUAGCGCACAAGUAGAGUGAUCGAAAGAUGAAAAGCACUUUGGAAAGAGAGUCAAAUAGCACGUGAAAUUGUUGAAAGGGAAGCGCUUGCAGCCAGACUUGCCUGUAGUUGCUUAUCCGGACUUUUGUCCGGUGCACUCUUCUGCGGGCAGGCCAGCAUCAGUUUAGGCGGUUGGAUAAAGGUCUCUGUCAUGUACCUCUCUUCGGGGAGGCCUUAUAGGGGAGACGACAUGCAACCAGCCUGGACUGAGGUCCGCGCAUCUGCUAGGAUGCUGGCGUAAUGGCUGUAAGCGGCCCGUCUUGAAACACGGACCAAGGAGUCUAACAUCUAUGCGAGUGUUUGGGUGUCAAGCCCAGACGCGUAAUGAAAGUGAACGGAGGUGGGAACCCUUUGGGUGCACCAUCGACCGAUCCUGAUGUCUUCGGAUGGAUUUGAGUAAGAGCAUGGCUGUUGGGACCCGAAAGAUGGUGAACUAUGCUUGAAUAGGGUGAAGCCAGAGGAAACUCUGGUGGAGGCUCGCAGCGGUUCUGACGUGCAAAUCGAUCGUCAAAUUUGGGCAUAGGGGCGAAAGACUAAUCGAACUAUCUAGUAGCUGGUUCCUGCCGAAGUUUCCCUCAGGAUAGCAGUAACGUAUUCAGUUUUAUGAGGUAAAGCGAAUGAUUAGAGGCCUGGGGGUUGAAACAACCUUCACCUAUUCUCAAACUUUAAAUAUGUAAGAAGUCCUUGUUACUUGAUUGAACGUGGACACUUGAAUGUACCGUUACUAGUGGGCCAUUUUUGGUAAGCAGAACGGCGAUGCGGGAUGAACCGAACGCGGGGUU